CCGCCGGUCCGCAGAUAAAAGCCCAGAGCCUCCCGGCCGCUGGCCGAGGGAGGAGGGGGGAGGGAAGGAGGAGGAGGGAACAGUCUGUGGGGCGUGAUGGGAGUUGUAGUUUCGGUCUCUCCCUGGAGUGCCUGGUGGGCUGAGCGCCUCGCAGCCCCUCCUUACUGCGUGACAAUAGCGUACACACGCAGGUGGCUGCAGAGGACCCCGAGGCUGGGGCGAGGCUGUGACGAGGCUGUGACGAGGGGUGGCACUGCAAAUUAGAAGCCUGAUGAGAGCACAACUGAUAUUUUAUUUUUCUUAGCAAAACUGUAAUUGUAGUAGAAAAAUGAAUACCAAGCGAAAUUGGAGUCCUUCUAUCAACAUUGGGAAUCAGGACCCCACCCUCCCCACCCCCUACUCUGCACAAUGGCUUCGCCUCUUUGCACCUAAUAUUUACAAUUGAGCCAAAUCUGUGCCGUUUUCAGACCCGCUGCACAUUCCAACGCAGUCUCCCAGGAGGAUGGUGUUAAAUAAAAAGCUUUUAUGUAGUUUGCUAAUAGUUUAGGAAUAGUUAUUUAACAAGUGUUUUCUGUUUCAGAAAAGCGCAAGCCUUGCAACCGUUUCGUGGAUGUGAACCAGUUUUCCCUGCAGUUACUGUAUUUACUUUAUUCCUUUCAGCAGGGGAUUUUAGCACAGUUCUGGGAACAAUGUUAAUUAAUAGUUCUAGAAAGAAAGAAAUUAGAUGAUGAGAUCUCUGGCUCUUUGGUAAAUUUCUUGCACGAGUACUAAUCAUUUUGGAGCAUUUGCGUUUUAGAGCAGUUUUUAAUAUUUCAAGUUUAUAACCUUUCCUAUUCUCUUAAGUUAUUUCUGUAGUAUUUUUUUUUAAUAUUUAUUUAUUUUUGAGAGACAGUGCAAGCGAAGGAGGUUCGGAGAGAGACAGAAUCUGAAGCAGGCUCCAGGCUCCGAGCUGUCAGCACAGAGCCCAACACGGGGCUGGAACUCACGGACCACAAGAUCAUGACCUGAGCUGAAAUCUGAGCUUAAAGCUCUGAGCCACCCCGGUGCCCCUACAGUAUUCCUUUUUAAUUUAGUACAUUAACAGAUGAUACAAUCCUAAUGGGACUUUAUUUCUUCUUAGUAUAUAAUAACAUUCAAUGUAAGUUUUGCUGUAAUUAAUAUCUCUCUGCAUAUGUACUUUAAUUUAGCUACCAAAAAUUUGGAAAUGGAUACUUUUAAGUUUUUAAAUAAUUUCCUUAAAAGUAGAUACUGUGUUUCCUGUAUAACUGCCACUCUUGAAAGUCAACAUUUUCUUUAGUUUGGAAUUAUUCAGCUUUGAAGGUAUAGUUAAACUCAACCAAUAGGAACUCAGAGGCUAUUCUCUGAAAGGUACCAAAGUGGAUAAAAAGUUAAAUAAGUCAUUUCCCCAGCAGAACACCUAUUGUCUGCAAAACAAAAAGGUACAGAAAUAGCAGCAGAACAAGACCAAUAGGUUGUUGUGUGGAUUUAAAGGAAAGGGUGGCUUUUUAGAAGAGACUUUGAAGACGAGUAGAAGAAUAUCUACUGGCAGAUAGGGGGAAUGCAGGGUGAGAAUAUGCGGAAUUUAUGAGAUCGACAAGGAGUUGGUUGUACUUCAGAAAGGGAUAGGAGAGGUCUAGUAGGGAUAAUGUUGAAAAUGUAGGUUUGAAUGAAUGCAACAGAAGGCUCUCACUGGGUUGUCUUCCCAGCUCCUUGCUCUUUUCUGAAACCUGUCCCUCAGCUCUGACCUAAGACAUUGUAGGGGUGGCUCCCAAAGCCCUGUUCAUACAGCAAGACCCAGACCGCUGGCCACAGCUAAUUGGUCUAGGCCCCAAACUAGGCCAGACAAUAUCCCUACCCUAAGGACUUGGAAUUAGCACCGGCAAAGAAAGAGAGAGCUUAAACUUUAACUUGUGACACAGAAGCUCAGAGCUUUCAGAAGCCACGUUCUAACAUGGGAACCAGAGAAGCUGAAGAAGCUAGUCAGUAGGAAGAGAACAAAGCAGACUUGUGGAUAGUGAUGGAAAUGAGUUUCAGCGAGUGCUGAUAAUGUUUUAGUCCAGGGGUCCUAAAAUUAUGAGCUGUGUGGCAAAUUGUGUGUUUUAUAAAUAAAGUUUUAUUGGAACUCAUUUCUUUUCAUAUUGCCUAUGCCACAGUGACAGAAACCAUAUGGCCUGCAAAGCCUAAUACAUUUACUAUUUGGCCCUUUACAGAAAAAGUUUGCCAGUCCUUGUUUAUGGCUCAACUUCUUCCUAUACCCCUACUCAUAAUGUCUGCAUAAUAUCCCUGUAUCCAUAGCAUAUAUUUCUCAUCUUACUUAAGCCACCUCAAAUAGGUUUCAGUUUUGGGCAAUCAAAAUUACCCUCACUGAAAAGUUUAUACUGAACUUGUAAGCAUUCAGAGGAAGGAAAGGAUAUGAUCAGAGCUAUACUUCAAGAACAUUACUCUGGUAAUAGUUCUGGUUUAUUCCACACUGAUGAAAAAGUUUAUAUGCAGGACAAAGUGUUAGCAGUCCAGGGAUCCACAACAGCUAGUGUGGAGUUGAGACCCGGAGUUAGUAAACAAAAUGUAAGAAUGAGUGAGAGUAGAAAGCAAUCUGGGAUAUAAACUAGAGGCCCAAGAUCAACACAAGGGUAUCAUACCACAGGGAGGAUUAGGUGCCCAUCUGACAAGUAAAGUCUGCAGAUAAAGCAGGCAGCCAAAGCUUAAAGACAGAACUCAGAAAACUGAGUAGGUCAUUAGGCUUUAAGCAAGCUGCCUCUGCAUUGCCUAAGACUUGAACCUGUUUAUAAGUCAUGAUAGGACAUCUGGCUAGCGUGGGUUUUUUCUUCACUUUAUUGACAUGUAAUGUUGUGUAAAUUCAAGGUGUACAACGUGAUGAUUUGACAUACAUUUACAUUGUGAAAUUAUCACCAUAAUAAGGUUUGUUAACAGCCUAGAGUGUUUUAAAACAGGAGUUUUUAACCUUUAGUAGUCUGGCAAAGUCUAUGAACCCUUUCUCAAAAAAAUAAGUUUCUAAAUACAGAAAAUAAAGGGGACAGGAUUAGUGAUAUCGCAAAAACAGUUAUCAAAAUAAAGGAGUGCAGUAUUUUUGUUAUUUUUUGAAUUUAUUUCAGUUUAAUUUGUUUUAACGUACGGUGCUAUAUUAGUUUCAGGUGUACAAUAUAGUGAUUCAACACUUCCAUACAUCACCCAGUGCUCCUCAUAACAAGUGCACUCCUUAAUCCCCAUCACCUAUUUCACCCAUCUCCCCCACCCACCUCCCCUCUGGUAAGCAUCAGUUUGUUGUCAAUAGUUAAGGGUCUGUUUCUUGGAUUGUCUCUCUCUCUUUUUCUCUUUCUCUCUUUCCUCUUUUUCCCCUGGCUCAUUUGUUUCAUUUCUUAAAUUUCAUAUAUGAGUGAAGUCAUAUGGUAUUUGUCUUUCUCUGACAUUUCACUUAGCAGUAUACUCUCUAGCUCCAUCCAUGUCAUUGCAAAUGGCAAGAUUUCUUUCUUUUGAUGGUUAAAUAAUAUUCCAUCGUGUGUAUAUACCACAUCUUCUUUAUCAAUUCAUCUGUCGAUGGACACUUGGGCCGCUUCCAUACCUGGCUACUGUAAAUAACACUCCUGUAAAUAUAGGGUUGCACAUGCCUUUGAAUUAGUGUUUUUGUAUUUUGGGGGUAAAUACCAAGGAGCGUGAUUACUGGAUCAUAGAGUAGUUCUAUUUUUAACUUUUUGAGGAAUCUUCAUAGUCUUUUCCACAGCUUGGAAACACCAGUGGCAUUCCCACCAACAGUGCAAAAGGGUUCCUUUUUCUCCACAUCCUUACCAACACUUGUUGUUUCUUGUGUUUUUUAUUUUAAACAUUCUAAUAGGUGUGAGGUGAACCACUGAUUUUGAAGUAUAAUGAGAAGAAAUAAAAUUUUAAGAUAUUUGCAACAGUUGGAAAAUAUUAAAAUACCUAUGAUUUCUGUUGGUAACAAAGUCACAGAUGUUUGCUGCUAUUACAGUGGUUUGUUGAUACAUUCAUAAUUGAAGGGAUUAGUAAAUUUCUGUUGGAGUCUGAUGAAAAUAUAAAGAUGUUAUUUUUUUUCUCAUUUAAGUUAAUGAACUCCCUAAAUUCUAUCCACAAGUCUCUUGGGUGGGGUGGGGGACAUGUGUGUCUAAGAACACCAGUUGAGGAAACCAUAGUGUCUAAGUGUAUUCAAAUCUGUAAAAACCUAUGAAUUUGCCUAAAAAGCACAUACAGAAAGAAACAAGAAGGAGCCAUGAAGAGUCCUUUGGAGAACCCCUACAUGUAAGAACUGGAAGGAGAACAAGGAAUUAAAGGGAGUGGAGGAGCCAUCAGAAAAACACAAAACUGAAAGAAUACAGUAAACCUAACAGUAGAGUUCUCUAAGUUUAAGGAAGUAGAGAAUAGCAAGAAUGUUACUCAGCCUGAAAGUCAAGAAAGAAAAUAAAAAUAGAGGCUUUGAGUUUGUUAGCUGGGCAGCCUGUGUUCACAUUUCAGCUUUGCCACUUAAUUUCUUGGACAAAUUAUUUUGUACCUCUCUAAGCUUCAAUUUUCAUGUCUAUAAAAUAAGCAUAAGUAAUGGCUUUUAUUCAAUAUUUUUAUGAAGGUUAAUUAUGCUCAGGAUAUUCUCCAAAUGAUGGCCUAUGGUAUCUGUUUGAAGGGUAUUCCCACUCUACCUGGUUACUGAUGUUUGGACCAUAUCUGUGUACUUCCCUCAGUGUGACCUAUAUUGCAGCUUGAAAGUAAUUUAUGACAUAUGUGACCAGGCUUGGAAAUACAUAAUGGGGAUUUUCCAGGAAUUUACAGUUGGAAAAUCAAAAGACUAAGGCAAUUGGUAGUAGGAACAUAAAGGCAAAUGCUGCAAGGGGGUGGAGUGGGGAUAAGGAGCUUUGAGCAAGUUAAGGAAUGAGGGAACAGAAUGAAGAAUAAGAGGAAGUUGGUCUGUAACAGGAGAAUGGAGCCCCUGUGGAAUGAAAAGUAGAAACGCUAAUGAAGAGCUGGCCGCUGUCUUCUAGUCUCAGCUUCCAUGAAUCCAGGUGUACCACAGUUCCUGCCCUUGGAUUGCUGUUUUAUAACCUCCAUCUUUUAUCUUGAGCUAGUUUAAGUGGAGGGGUCUUUUCCUGACUACUGUAAAUCCUAACCAGAAUAUCCAUGUAAAGUAUGGACAGUAAAUCACUUGCCUGAGGGGCGCUUGGGGGAAUCAAUCGGUGAAGCAUCUGACUUUGGCUCAGGUCAUGAUGUCACAGUUCAAGAGUUCAAGCCCCGCCUCAGGCUCUGUGCUGACAGCUCGGAGCCUGGAGCCUGCUUCAGGUUCUGUGUCUCCCUCUCUCUCUGCCUCUCCCCCCACUCAUUCUCUCUCUCUCUCUC